GUGCUCGCUUCAGCAGCAUAUAUACUAAAAUUGGAAUGAUACAGAGAAGAUUAGCAUGGCCCCUGUGCAAGGAUGAUACGCAAAUUCGUGAAGCAUUCCAUAUUUUU
rnacentral:snRNA from 1 species